UCUGUUUGACCACAGCCGGGGGGAAUUUGGCUCUUGGUUUUAAUUCCAGCCAGCCCGUGACGGGAGAAACUCAAGCGAGCCAAAGGAGGUGGGAGACAGGAUCUCCCCCACCAAGCCGGGCUUGUGGCACAUCUUGUCUGGAGCACAGGGAGAAAUGUGUCGGCUCGAGGCAGCCACCCUGUUGUCUGCAGGCUGCCUGCCUUCCCCCUGCCCUGCCGUGGUGUUAGAAACACGCCGGGGCUGUCUGAUCGGCGUCUCCUUGUCCCCAGGCUCCAGGCAGGAUGGAUGUUUUUAGGGAGGGGUUUUAACUGGCAGAAUCUCAGCGGUGGGAUUUUGGCCAGGACAAGGGAAAAAACUGCCAGGUUAUGCAAGGCUUGGGGCGUUUAGCAGGGAGCUGCCUUCCCCUAAAGUGCUGCGGAGCUGGAGGAUGGAAGAUGUGACCCGUAGGAUGCCUCCAUCCUGCCUGUGGUGCCAUUGUCUUAUACUUACAAGCGAAAAAAAUCCACAAGGUUCCUAAAAAUCAGAAGAAAAGUGAUUAAUUAUCCCUUAUAUUGCAGAAGAAUUGCCUGUGCUGAUUAAGCUGUUGCUCAUUAGCUCAUAAUGAUUAUCAAGGCACCAACAAUUGAUGCUUUUUCCCCCAGCAGUAAAGGCAGUGCAGGCUGGUUGGAGCAUCUUGGGUCGCAAUGAACCUAUUUUGCACUUUUUCCUGCUAAUAUCGUGCCCAAAUAUCUGCACAGCUGCCCCCGUUGGAGAGUCCCCUGUUCCCUGCAAGAUCCUCCAGCUCCUUCCACAGCACAGGUUGAGGCAGAUUUGUGGAAGGCAGGAGAUUUUGUUUGUGGCUAAAUCUUUUGUAGGAUUUUCUUUAAAGGCCUUAAUGCCAUCAGAAAACAGCAAGAGCCACAUUCCGCUUUCUGUCGGAGCGAAUCUGGAGGAAAUCAGCCGAAGGCAGUGAGGGGUUGCUGGAUUUCUCCCCGUGUAAGCAGAAGCAGAGUUCAGUCCCCAGCACUUGGCUAUUUUCUGCACCAGCAGUUCUGGCCUUGGAAAAAAACGAGAUGCAGUUUUUCUCAUUUUGGCUUGUGAGAAGCUUGAAAACUACCAAGGCCACAGAAAGCGGAAGAGAAGUCUGAGGCUUGUAAAUUAUAAACGGUGGCAACAUCGGGUGUGUUAAUGUAAAAGCAGAUGUUGUGGUGGCUGCUGACCUCGAGACGCUGCAGUCACCCUCUGCUGGGCUCUUAGAUGCAGGAGAGGAGGAGGAGGAGGCUGUAGAAGCUGUUCCCUCUCACUUAAUGUAACACGGGGUUUGAAGGUCUCAGGAAACACCCUGUUUCUUUUUAUGCACCCCUGAAAUAACAGUUCUGGGAAAUAUCAGUAUAUUCUGCUUCAGCCUCCUGUUUUAUGUUAAAUGUUGUUUUGAUGUGAUUGUCAACACCUGCUUGGUGUUAAAAGGGUGCUCAUGGUAAGACCUCUCUACCUGAAACCCAGGAUUAGGCAAUGCCAGAGUGGAAGUUUUUGGUCUCAAUGGGACCAGUUCAAAUUUCCCAGUUCCAUUCCUAGAAAGCCACAUCCAUGGGAGAACUUACUGGGGCUCUGCCUUUGGUUUCCCUUUCAUUUGCACAGUCUGCAGCCCCUCAUCUCAGCCACCUGAGAGCCUCCAGCAUGUUCAUCAGCUCCUUCUGAUUAUGAAAACGUUUGGGGCUUCAAGGAGAGGAGACCUGGGUUCAGGCUGUGCUUUAACACGUGCUCAGUGGUGGCCUUAGUUCUGAUGUAGGCAACUUGUGCAGAGUGUUCCUCCUCUGCUCUGCUGCUCUGUGAGCCAUGGAGCCUUCUGGUGAUGUCCCACAGCCACAGUUCAGCAGAUAAAUUGAAUCUGGGGUCCUUCCCACAGCAUCUUCCACAAGGCAGCUAGCUUGAGCACGGACUGCUCAUGCAAAGCUUUGGCCACAUGGACGUUGAGUAACUGGCGCCAUGAAUGGGCAAAUCGGGUCUGGGUUCAUGCCAGGAUUUAGUCUGGAUUUAAGGAGAACAACCACAGGACCCGUGCGGACACGGGAAUGAGUUGUUGAAGCAUGUCCAGGAGCUCUACUUGGAAAAACAUCCAUGGAGUGCAUGAGAGAUCUGCCUGAGCUGUGGGGAUGCUGCCAGACUGAGAGCACAGGUGACAAAAUGAGAGUUGGAAGCACUGGAGAUCCGAAGCAUCAUCAGCUACUGUGGGUCUUUCUUCAGAUACGUGCCGUGCUUGGGGAUUUCUCAGGCCAGGGUGCUGAGUUUGGCCGCCAAGGCACAAGAUGACAAUUUAUCCCUGGUACAUGUAAUGAAAAAGAAGGAUGAAAAUCAUUUAAAUGUGUUUUGUGGUGGUAAAAGGUGUUCCCAACACUGUACCCUUUUUACAAACCCUAAUCGCAGAGUAAUCCAGGGGUUUGGGGAUGAAGGGAACGGGGCCCUCACGUGGUGUACCAGGCGCAGCGGUGAGGUCUGUGCCUCCAGCAUGGAGUCACUGUGCACGUCAGGCACCAGACCCGAGCCUACCACUAAGGCACGGGGAUAAAUAAAUAAGUUUAAGGAAAUCAGGUGUGAAAACAUAGAGCUGAUUGUCGGAGUUCUGGGAGAACCAGCCGAGACAAAUGGGAUCUGUGACUGCUCAGUGUGUCAGAAAAUCAGCUGGAAGGCCGCUACGAACGGCGGCAAGCAGGCACCGGAGGUCUUCUGCAAGACGAGAAAGCCUGUUUUAUAAAGUUGCAAAAUCGUGAAAAACAAGAUCUGCAUGGGGAUACUGGUUCAGUCUAAUUUUAUUAUUAUUUGGGGAAGAAAAUGAAACUGAUGUUUGAAAUAGCAAGCGAGCUGUCCUGUGUAACAUCUUUUUUAUUUAUUUAUUUUUUAAUCUAAAUUGGGCAUGUGUUCAAAAGGCCAUCAGUGCCACCAGGGUGACUACAGCGAGCCACCUGUGUGCUGUAUCCAGGAACACAGAUCCACAAUUGCUUGGGUGAGCGCAGAUGUCCCAGCUUCUCCUCGGUAGCUCUCAGUCUUCAUGGUCCACAUUUAACCUGCCGUGGUUAAAUGUGGGCACCAGCCUGGUCUUCCUAACCCCCUGAAAGCAAGAAGUCAUAAAACGCAGCUUAUUCGAGCCACUCAAGAACAAAUAAAAGUAUCAUAAUCUCCCCCUUCGUGCUUUGCAGGCAGUAUAUCGGCAGUGGAAACACUGCCAAACUUCUUGUUUAAAUACUUACUGGUAUGGUUAAUGUUCCCUGCGAGGACGAGCUUUUCUUACAGAAGGACACUGUUUACGAUUAAGACAAGGGCUGGCUACUUUGCCAUUAAAAUUCUGUGCCAGUCCGGCGCUGACAAUAUUGAGGCUUUGCUAAAUGUGUAUACACGCAAGUUCAUUAAAUGGAUGCUGACUGUUGUUACACAAGUACAGCAGUUGAGUGCUUUCUGUAUUAACCUUAUCACCUGAUGGGCAAAAGAAAAGGUUUAACUAAAGCUUAGGACUAAUUGAACAGUAUUUCAGUAUUUUCUUAUGUAAAACUGGUUCUGGUCUAUUGUUUUUAUUUAUUUGCAAUAACUGUGCUCAUUCAAGUUUGUAAUGACACUGCCAUGGGUGAAGAGAAUUUGCUUUAAGUAUUAUUCUCCCUUUUCCUAUCUCCUGCUUCCUCUAAACUGCGUCUCUCAGGGGUAAAUCUGCAACAGAGCCCAAUACAAAGACAACUCUCUAAGUACACAGCCACUUUCGGAGAUAUGUUCUCCAGCUCUGUUGUUAAAUUACUUUAGAAGUUCCUGUUUAUUUUCUCUGCCUGCCUUGGGUAUUUCCUGUCAGGCUGAGCGGAGCACAAACCAGGAGGAGAUAGCAGAGACUAAGCCUCCCCCUGAAAGGCAGCAGGCGUUUCACCAGCUACACCCAGCUCUCCAAACCACCAGCACUUUCUUUGCUUACUUACCACUAGAGUAUGCUCUCGUGCUGCAAGUUCCAGGUGAUGGCUGGUUUAUUUAUUUAUUUAUUUUUUCCAAUAAAUCAAAAAGCUUUCAAAAAUUCAAGAGCUUUUCGCUUCCCCUAGCGCUUUUCCCCCCAGGAAUACUUUUUUUUCUUUUAUAAUUUAUUAUUAUUAUAGUUAUUUUUAUUAUUGUUGUUGUUAAUGUUAAUGUUAUGGUUAUUAUUUUAUUAAUAAUAUAUUGUUAUUAUUUAUUAUUAUAUUUAUUAUUGUUAUUAAUGCCUUUGAGCCUACCCUCAAGGCUUUGAGGAAGCCCAGAGAGUUGUUGUGCAUUGCUCUGUGGUGGGGUGACUCUGACUUGGGUUUGGGCAACUCUCAACUUUUAGAGCAUGAAUGAAAAUGGUUUAAAAUACCUGCCUGGCUCAUGCUACCCCUAAGAAAAAAACAGAAAGAAAAAAAAAAAAA